UGACUGUUCUGCAGAGUGUGUUCCACGAUCAAGCAGGUGGUUCAUCCGGGGCGAGGCCUAACCAUUGCACACCGGUAGGCGGAUCCCUGCGUAUUCCCCCAGUGUGGGAAUCUCGACUGCAUAAUUUUUGGUAGUGGGGGCCAGAGUUCGCGCUCUCCCCUG